rnacentral:rRNA from 1 species
AGCCUGAUCCAGCCAUACCGCGUGGGUGAAGAAGGCCUAUCGGGUUGUAAAGCCCUUUUGUUGGGAAAGAAAAGCAAUCGAUUAAUACCCGGUUGUUCUGACGGUACCCAAAGAAUAAGCACCGGCUAACUUCGUGCCAGCAGCCGCGGUAAUACGAAGGGUGCAAGCGUUACUCGGAAUUACUGGGCGUAAAGCGUGCGUAGGUGGUUGUUUAAGUCUGUUGUGAAAGCCCUGGGCUCAACCUGGGAAUUGCAGUGGAUACUGGGCAACUAGAGUGUGGUAGAGGGUAGUGGAAUUCCCGGUGUAGCAGUGAAAUGCGUAGAGAUCGGGAGGAACAUCCAUGGCGAAGGCAGCUACCUGGACCAACACUGACACUGAGGCACGAAAGCGUGGGGAGCAAACAGGAUUAGAUACCCUGGUAGUCCACGCCCUAAACGAUGCGAACUGGAUGUUGGGUGCAAUUUGGCACGCAGUAUCGAAGCUAACGCGUUAAGUUCGCCGCCUGGGGAGUACGGUCGCAAGACUGAAACUCAAAGGAAUUGACGGGGGCCCGCACAAGCGGUGGAGUAUGUGGUUUAAUUCGAUGCAACGCGAAGAACCUUACCUGGUCUUGACAUGUCGAGAACUUUCCA